rnacentral:rRNA from 1 species
UACGUAGGGUGCGAGCGUUAAUCGGAAAUACUGGGCGUAAAGCGUGCGUAGGCGGUUCCUCAAGUCCGUUGUGAAAGCCCCGGGCUCAACCUGGGAAUGGCAGUGGAAACUAGGGGACUGGAAUCUGGCAGAGGGGGGUGGAAUGCCGCGUGUAGCAGUGAAAUGCGUAGAUAUGCGGAGGAACACCGAUGGCGAAGGCAAUCCCCUGGGCCUGCACUGACGCUCAUGCACGAAAGCGUGGGG